UGGGGAAUAUUGCACAAUCGGGGGAAAACCCUGAUGCAGCGACGCCGCGUGAAGGAAGAAGUAUCUCGGUAUGUAAACUUCUAUCAGCAGGGAAGACAAUGACGGUACCUGACUAAGAAGCCCCGGCUAACUACGUGCC
rnacentral:rRNA from 1 species